AAUUUAUACCGUGAAACUGCGAAUGGCUCAUUAAAUCAGUUAUCGUUUACUUGAUAGUACCUUACUACUUGGAUAACCGUGGUAAUUCUAGAGCUAAUACAUGCUAAAAGCCCCGACUUCGGAAGGGGUGUAUUUAUUAGAUUAAAAACCAAUGCCCUUCGGGGCUCUUUGGUGAUUCAUAAUAACUUAACGAAUCGCAUGGCCUUGUGCCGGCGAUGGUUCAUUCAAAUUUCUGCCCUAUCAACUUUCGAUGGUAGUAUAUGGGACUACCAUGGUUUCAACGGGUAACGGGGAAUUAGGGUUCUAUUCCGGAGAGGGAGCCUGAGAAACGGCUACCACAUCCAAGGAAGGCAGCAGGCGCGCAAAUUACCCAAUCCCGACACGGGGAGGUAGUGACAAUAAAUACUGAUGCAGGGCUCUUUUGGGUCUUGUAAUUGGAAUGAGUACAAUUUAAAUCCCUUAACGAGGAACAAUUGGAGGGCAAGUCUGGUGCCAGCAGCCGCGGUAAUACCAGCUCCAAUAGCGUAUAUUAAAGUUGUUGCAGUUAAAAAGCUCGUAGUUGAACCUUGGGCCUGGCUGGCCGGUCCGCCUCACCGCGUGCACUGGUCCGGCCGGGUCUUUCCUCCUGGGGAGCCGCAUGCCCUUCACUGGGUGUGUCGGGGAACCAGGACUUUUACUUUGAAAAAAUUAGAGUGUUCAAAGCAGGCCUAUGCUCGAAUACAUUAGCAUGGAAUAAUAGAAUAGGACGUGUGGUUCUAUUUUGUUGGUUUCUCGGACCGCCGUAAUGAUUAAUAGGGAUGGUCGGGGGCAUCAGUAUUCAAUUGUCAGAGGUGAAAUUCUUGGAUUUAUUGAAGACUAACUACUGCGAAAGCAUUUGCCAAGGAUGUUUUCAUUAAUCAGGGAACGAAAGUUAGGGGAUCGAAGACGAUCAGAUACCGUCGUAGUCUUAACCAUAAACUAUGCCGACUAGGGAUCGGGCGAUGUUAUUUUUUUUGACUCGCUCGGCACCUUACGAGAAAUCAAAGUC
rnacentral:rRNA from 1 species